UACAGAGGUCCCAAGCGUUGUUCGGAUUCAUUGGGCGUAAAGGGUGCGUAGGUUGCGAAGUAAGUUGGAUGUGAAAUACCGGGGCUCAACCCCGGAACUGCAUUCAAUACUGCUCCGCUCGAGUGCUGGAGAGGAGACUGGAAUUUACGGUGUAGCAGUGAAAUGCGUAGAUAUCGUAAGGAAGACCAGUGGCGAAGGCGAGUCUCUGGACAGCAACUGACACUGAGGCACGAAGGCCAGGGGAGCAAACGGG
rnacentral:rRNA from 1 species